AUUGAACGCUGGCGGCGUGCUUAACACAUGCAAGUCGAUCGGUAACAGGUGUAGCAAUACAUGCUGACGAGAGGCGGACGGGUGAGUAAUGCUUGGGAAUCUGCCUAUUAGUGGGGGACAACCCGGGGAAACUCGGGCUAAUACCGCAUACGCUCUACGGAGGAAAGCCGGGGACCGCAAGGCCUGGCGCUAAUAGAUGAGCCCAAGUCGGAUUAGCUAGUUGGUAGGGUAACGCCUACCAAGGCGACAAUCCGUAGCUGGUCUGAGAGGACGACCAGCCACACCGGAACUGAGACACGGUCCGGACUCCUACGGGAGGCAGCAGUGGGGAAUAUUGGACAAUGGGGGCAACCCUGAUCCAGCGACGCCGCGUGGGUGAAGAAGGCCUGCGGGUUGUAAAGCCC
rnacentral:rRNA from 1 species